AAUCAACGCUGGCGGCGCGCUUAACACAUGCAAGUCGAACGAGAAAGGGGAGCAAUCCCCGAGUAAAGUGGCGCACGGGUGAGUAACACGUGGGUAAUCUGCCUCUGGGUGGGGAAUAACUCUGGGAAACCGGAGCUAAUACCGCAUAAGCCUGAAAGGGGAAAGGCGAAAGUCGCCGAGAGAGGAGCCCGCGGUCGAUUAGCUAGUUGGUGGGGUAAAGGCUCACCAAGGCAGUGAUCGAUAGCCGGCCUGAGAGGGCACACGGCCACACUGGCACUGAAACACGGGCCAGACUCCUACGGGAGGCAGCAGUGGGGAAUCUUGCACAAUGGGGGAAACCCUGAUGCAGCGACGCCGCGUGAGCGAUGAAGCCCUUCGGGGUGUAAAGCUCUUUCGGCAGGGACGAUAAUGACGGUACCUGAAGAAGAAGCUGCGGCUAACUACGUGCCAGCAGCCGCGGUAAUACGUAGCAGCGAGCGUUGUUCGGAGUUACUGGGCGUAAAG
rnacentral:rRNA from 1 species